rnacentral:rRNA from 1 species
UACGGAGGGAGCUAGCGUUGUUCGGAAAUACUGGGCGUAAAGCGCACGUAGGCGGCGCAGCAAGUCAGGGGUGAAAUCCCGGGGCUCAACCCCGGAACUGCCCUUGAAACUGCAGUGCUAGAAUUCUGGAGAGGCGAGUGGAAUUCCGAGUGUAGAGGUGAAAUUCGUAGAUAUUCGGAAGAACACUAGUGGCGAAGGCGACUCGCUGGACAGACAUUGACGCUGAGGUGCGAAAGCGUGGGGAGCAAACAGG